rnacentral:rRNA from 1 species
GGCUCAGAACGAACGCUGGCGGCGCGUUUAAGCAUGCAAGUCGAGCGGCAAGGGCCUCGGGCCCCUAGAGCGGCGGACGGGUGAGUAACACGUGGACAAUCUGCCCCCCGGCCCGGGAUAGCCCAGGGAAACCUGGAUUAAUACCGGAUGAGACGGGACCCGCGAUGGCGGGAUCCGGGAAAGGCGCUGCGGCGCCGCCGGGGGAUGAGUCUGCGUCCCAUUAGCUAGACGGCGGGGUAACGGCCCACCGUGGCGACGAUGGGUAGCCGGCCUGAGAGGGUGGACGGCCACAUUGGAACUGAGACACGGCCCAAACUCCUACGGGAGGCAGCAGUAGGGAAUUUUCGGCAAUGGGGGAAACCCUGACCGAGCAACGCCGCGUGAAUGAAGAACCGUAUUUCGGUAUGUAAAGUUCUUUUAUUAAGGAAGAAUAUCACGGAUAGGAAAUGAUCUGUGAGUGACGGUACUUAAUGAAUAAGCCCCGGCUAACUAUGUGCCAGCCGCAGC